GUCAGUGUGCUAACAAAAGGAGAAACUGCAAGUAGAGCUGUAUCUAGUAAUUUGCUGCAAAGGUACACGACACUAGUAUCAAACUGGUAACGAACUAAAUCCAAGAAAAUGGCACAUUCGAUGCACACAGAACGCAGCAUUCAUGAAAUGCUCAAGGACACACCACCUAUGAAUGAAAGUGCCAGCGCCAUACACAGCGGAACGGAAGGCCGACCUUUUAUGCCACCAAAUAGUCUACCACUUCAUAAUCAUUCGGCACCUGCCACACCCAUGGCACAAACCAGUCCACAAAAUGGCAUGGAUGCGGGUCUGCUACGUACGGGAGCAUCUAAAAUCGACAGCAUAAAGAAUUGGAGCAUAUCAACUUACAAAUGUACUCGCCAAAUAAUGUUAGAAAAACUGGGUAAAUCACAACGCACCGUUGAUUCAGAGUUAGAAGCUCAAAUCGAACAGUUGCGGGAGACACAGCGCAAAUAUCUUUCGAUUUUACGAUUAACGCGCGCCUUUAGUUCACAUUUUCAUCAUGUAGUUGCAACACAACAUGCGCUGGCCGAAGCAUUUGCAGAUUUAGCACAGAAAAGUCCAGAACUGCAGGAGGAGUUCACUUGUAACUCGGAAACACAACGAAAUCUUACGAAAAAUGGCGAAUUGCUCUUGAGUGCGCUGAAUUUCUUUAUCUCUUCGGUAAAUACAUUGUGCAAUAAAACUAUUGAUGACACAUUGCUCACGAUUAAGCAAUAUGAAACGGCAAGAGUGGAGUUCGAUGCAUAUCGCAUGGAUUUAGAGAAUGCCAAACCCGAAUUGCCACAAAGUCCAAUCACUGAAGAAGCGCAAAAAAACUUUUCACAUCAUAAAGAACUUUAUGAAAAGUUGCGUGCUGAUGUGGCAGUAAAAAUGCAAUUUCUCGACGAGAACAGGAUUAAAGUGAUGCACAAACAGUUGGUGCUGCUACAUAAUGCAAUUGCGGCGUACUUUUCCGGCAAUGCUGUUGCUCUUGAGAGCACAAUAAAACAAUUUAACAUUAAAUUAAAAGCGCCUAAUGCCUCGACUGGGUCCUGGCUGGAGCAGUAGUAUUUCUAAAUAACUGUCCCUUAAAGCACCCAGCGGUCAUAUGCAACUAUAAGCUAGCAUAUAAAAUAAAAUACCUUGUCGAAAAGCAAACUAAGGGAAGAAUAUUGAGUGCGAUAUACAUACAUCUUAAGCUAACUGCAUUGGAAUGAAUUUUCUAAUUAAGCAUAACUAAGAUGAUCCCAUCUAAGCAAAAACCAUCAGUAAACUCUACUGCACGAUAGAAAUAUAUGUGUAAGUAUGCAAAUUCUAUCAAUUUAUUCAUUCGGCAAUUGAUUAUGUAUUGUCGAAGUAUUUACUUUUCAUAAUUUGUGAAUUAUAUUUUAAGUAAAUCAUUCAAAAUCGGCCUACAGAUCCAUAUACAUACCUAAAUGAAGUUUUACAGUAUUGACCGACAAAGCAAAAAAUUUAAUCGAUUUUUCUUAGCUCCAUUAAUGUUUAAAUUUUAUACUUAUGUAAGCCCACAAAAGUCUAAUGAAAAGUAAUAUGUAUAAGAAAAUUGAAAACAUAAAUGUGUAUUCUAGUCAACAAAUAUUAAAAAUAUAUACAUAUAUAUUAUAAAAGAAAUAUAUACAGCUUUCUUUUUA
rnacentral:misc_RNA from 1 species